UAUUAUAUAGUAUAUAUUUAUAGUACAAAAAAUUUCCAAUUUUUAAGAUUAAAUUUAAUAUAAUUA
rnacentral:tRNA from 1 species